rnacentral:lncRNA from 1 species
UUUUGUAGUUGAUUUUUCCCUUCAGCCUGAAAGAGCCAAAGUCAUAUCUUCCUGUAUGGAGAUUUGAGAAGCCUGAAUGUUGGAUGUGACCCUCAAGAUGAUCCCCGUAUCACUGCAAAAUCGGAAUGUUUUCUCGUAUGGGGCGCUCAGACUUUCACAUCUGGCAAAUACUAUUGGGAGGUUCAUGUGGGGGACUCUUGGAAUUGGGCUUUUGGUGUCUGUAACAAUUAUUGGAAAGAGAAGAGACAGAAUGACAAGAUAGAUGGAGAGGAGGGACUCUUUCUUCUUGGAUGUGUUAAGGAGGACGUUCACUGCAGGCUCUUUACCACACCCCACAUGUGGUGCUAUAUGUUCCAAGACCUAGCAGCCGAGUAGGAUUAUUCCUGGAUUGUGAAGGUAGAACCAUGAGCAUUGUUGAUGUUGAUCAAAGUUCCCUUAUAUACACCAUCCAUAAUUGUGCCUUCUCACCUCUUCUCAGGCCUAUCUUUUGCUGUAGUCACU